UCGGGUCGGCAUGGCAUCUCCACCUCCCCGCGGUCCGACCUGGGCAUCCGUAGGAGGACGGACGUCCACUCGGAUGGCGAAGGGAGAGCCAGU
rfam:Hepatitis delta virus complete virion genome, strain dFr2139